GAAACGCGAUAUGUCGUGCGAAUCGCAGAAUUCGGCGAAUCACGCAAUCCUCGAACGCAUCCGGCGCUCUCGGGUCUUCCCGGGAGCAUGCCCGUCCGAGCGUCGUUCCCAAAAAUCCCCUCCCCUUCGGUUCGGCGAGACCUCUCGAGGUUUCCACCCUUCCGGAGGAGACGGGGCCGUCGGGAGUCUGCGGCUCAAGUCGCAGUCUCCUGGGAACGAGGCGCGCCCGUCAGGAGCCCCCCUUUCCGUGAGGAGGGACCAGGAUCCAUCGUGGCUUCCGUCGAGAGCGCCCCUCGCGGUGCAAACUCGUUUCGGGAGUCCCCGUUCCCGGUCCACACCAAACUCCUCCGGAUACUUCGGGGAAUCGGCUUCGGCGAGGAAGGACGCCGUCCGUGGUCUCGUGAGACCAGGGUCGGAGGGCUUCGCUGCCCUCCCCUCUCUAACCACGACCUCGGAUCGGGCAAGAUUACCCGCUGAACUUAAGC
rnacentral:misc_RNA from 1 species